CUAGUACAACCAUCGUCUCCUUUGUGCCAUUGGGAUCAAUGCCUGCUGAAGAAGAUGGAGCCCCUUUCAAUGAAGAUGCUUCUGAAGGGAGGGUUUCGGAAGGCAGGGCUAGUAACAGAGAGAGCUGCUGCUUCCAUUUCUGCCUCUGUCUGAGGCUGACUGCUGCUCAAACAAUACCUGUGCUCUCUUCAUAUCGGAUCUCCAGGCAGAGCCCUCUACAGAGCUGUCCAAGGUGCUGUGCCUAAUAAUAAUAAUAAUAAUAAUAAUAAUAAUUUAUUAUUUAAACCCUGCCCAUCUGGCUGGGUUUCCCCAGGCCACUCUGGGGGGUUUCCAACAAAAUAUUAAAAUACAAUUCCUCAAAUAUUAAAAACUUCCCUAAACUGGGCUGCCUUCAGAUAUCUUCUAAAAGUCAGAUACCGUAUUUUUCGCCCUAUAGGACGCACUUUUCCCCCUCCAAAAAUGAAGGGGAAAUGUGUGUGCGUCCUAUGGGGCGAAUACAGGCUUUCGCUGAAGAACACAAGAACAUUUGAAGGUGUUCAUAUAUAGAUCUCUAUGUCUCAGAGGCCUUGGCUGAACCUCUUGCAUUUGGAGACUGCCACGAUGAAGGCAGCCCAGAUCUGGAAUCCAGAAAUAUUGAGCAGAAUUGAGCAAAGGGCUGUCCAUGGCUGACACAAGAAAGGCAAUUCCCAAAAUGCACUUGCCUUACCUGCAUCUUUUGACCUCAUCUGCUCUACCAGUUGCCACUUCCCUCUUCCCUUCAAGACUGUAAACCCUCUAAAGUCUAGUGAGAACUGGUAUCACCAUCUUCAUUGUAUUAUCAACCCAAGAACAUAGGAAAAACUUUGGUAGAUCACAUCAAUGGUCUUUCUAGUCAAGGGAUGGGAAACCUCAGGCCCAGGGGCCUAAUGUGCCCAGGCCUCACUAUCUGGCCCUCAGAACGUGCCCCAGGCCACAAGCCUCACCAGCCAGUCAUAUCCUCGAGUGUUUUUGCCAUUUCAUGAUGCCCUUCUCAGGCCAAGUAACGUGUACAAAAAUGCAUCUACUGGACUGGGGUGAAGUGUGCAUUAACAACCUACAGUUCACAGGAUUUUUUCUGGGUUGUGGGUGCUUUAAUGUUUUAAAUAUAUGCUGUGUACUCAGCCAGAGUCCCCAGCCGAAAGUCCCUUAGUCUAGUUGUUGCAUUCCUAACUCACUGCAAGGAGGUGGGACCCAUCUAAGUCAGGUCCGGGCCUGAGUGUUUGCUUUACUGACUGAGCACAGAUCUAAGUUCCCAUAUUCCACUACCCCCCUCCCCACAUCCCUGUUAUAAGUUGUGUUGAGGGUUGCCAAGAAUCCAGCAGGCCAGCGAUUAUAUAAAAAAAGCAACCCUCUGCAGGCAAGUUUCUGUGCAAUCGUUCAUCCUCGCUGGCUUCUUCUGAUAUAUUCCACUGCUCCUGCCCCCUCCCAACCCCAAUUCUGCCUGAGGCCCAGUCUAACUUGAUAUCUGACUCUUCUCCCCCUCCCCAACUCAUCCCCUAAAUAACACCCAGUCCCCGCACCCCUCCAUCUCUAUCACAAUCCCAAGGACUUUGCUUCACUGUGCCUGCGAGGGCUCUGGAAUCCAGCCAGGAGACAAUCUGUUCUUCAUUACAUUCACCACGCGGCUUGGAGGCUCGUGGCCCCCUUGCUCCUCCUGCUCCUGCUGAUGUGGCGAUUUGGACCCGGAGGAGCGCAAAAGCUCUUCAUCACUGUUCCGCCGGCCUUGGUGCCAACGCUCCUGUUGAGGGAUUGAUAAAACACAAGGCCGGGGCAGGAAAGCAGCUUCUGCCAGGUUAACCUCCUCCGCUCCCCAUCCUCCCCUCGGCCAACAGCCAGGAAUAGCAGCAAGAUUUGCAAUAAUAAUAUUUUCCUCUUUCAGUCAUUUCCCCCCUCCAAAGUCCUUUAUGAAACAGAAAACUGUAUUCAACCCUCUGUGUGCGUUGUCAGUUCUCUGCCUCAGUUUCCCAAGAGAGGGCUACCUCUGUUCUUCCUUCCUUCCACCUGCCCCAUCCAGAGUCUUCUCAUCUUCAUCCUAGACUAAGAACAUAAGGAGAGCCUGCUGGAUCAGGCCAAUGGCCCAUCUAGUCCAGCAUCCUUACAGUGGCCAACCAGUUGCCUGUGGGAAACUCACAAGCACUCUCUCCCACUGUGGUUUCUGGGAACUGGUAUUCAUCAGCAUUACUGCCUCUGACAGUGGAGGCAGAACCGAGCCAUCUUAGCUAGCAGCAGUUGAUAGCCUUCUCCUCCAUGAAUUUGUCCAAUCCUCUUUUAAAGCUAUCCAAGUUGGUGGCCCCCCAUUGCCUCAUGUGGGAGAGAGUUCCAUAGUUUAACUAUGUGUUGCAUGAAGAAGCACUUUCUUUCAUCUGCCCUGAAACUUCCAGUAUUCAGCUUCAUGGGAUGUCCACAAGCUUCUGGUGUUAUGAGAGAGGUAGAAAAACUUUUCCCUGUCAAGGAAAACCCUAAACUAUUAUAUCAGUCGGCUGUCAACCGAAACCCUAAACCAUACAACUUUUUCUGAUGGGUUGAGCCCCAGACGGGUCCUUGCAAGACAAGCUGGCCUUUUAACAGCCUCCUUUAUGGGAUGCAGCUGUGCAUUUUAGGGUCGGUUUCACAAGUUCCCACAAAGGUUUUACAAUGAGCUCUGGUGCCUCUUGCUUCAUCUCUUCCCCACUCCCCACAUCUUGCCUGGAUGGGGGAGAUGGGGGGCCUGCAAAGGGAAGGUCAGGAGGCGUUCUUCAAAUGGCUGAAUGAAUUCUGCUCCUGGGUUUUAACCAAUGAGCCGAUUGCAUUUAGAUAACUGUACUCAUGGAACAGCUCAUAAUGGCGGUGCUUGAAUGUCUGUGCCUAAAGUGGGCUGGGAUGUUCUCCUGCUGCUUUUCAAUAUGACUUCUUUUCAGACAGAUGUAACUGACGGUGGAUCUACACACAGGGGGAAAAACCACUAUGAAUAAGCCAGAAAUUAAAUCGUUAUAACAACAAAAAUCUCACUAUGGAAAAUUGCAAAUAAUUUUUUAUUUUAUUUUUGCUCUCCAGCACCAUCUGAUGUUGCAUGUUUAUAACACAUUCAAAACGCUGUUUUUUGACUAAUGUAGCUGAGUCCUGAGUCUGCUCUAAUCAUCUCUUUGCAUCCAGCUUUGAAAUAAUCUCAAGUUUCUUCCAACCAUCUCACUUCCUUGGUAUUUCCCCAUUUUGGCUUUGCUUUACGAGCACCCAAAAUUAGUAGCAGCAGAAUCUGCAGAUGAGCUGGCUGGGAAAGCUUGGCUGCAGCAGUUCAUGCAUUGGUUAUUUCAAAACUGGAUCACUGCAAGGCGCUUCCAUGGAAGCUGCAGUUACUGCAGAAUGAUGGGAGCGAGGCCUUGUCAGCAUACAACACCUGCGCUCAGAGAUCUGCACUGGUUGCCCUUUUGCAGGUGGGCCAAGUUCAAUGGGCUGCUAUUAGUGCACAAAGCCCUUGACAACUUGGGACCACUUUACCUGUCGGAUUGCCUUACUUUCUCCACAUAUGACCUCUCGACCACCUCAACUGGCAAAACUGGCAGCAUUACAGGUGCUGGGAAAAGUCAGGACAGAAGGAAAGGUCAUAGCUCAGUGGCAGAACACCUGCUUUGCCUGCAGAAGGUUCCAGGUUCAAUCCCUGGCAUCUGCAGGUGGGGCUGGGAAUCCUCCCUGUCUGAAAGCCCAGAGAGCCACUCCCAGUCAGUGUAGACAACACUGGGCUAGAAGGACCAAUGGUCUGACUCAGAGUAAGGCAGUUUCAUAACUGGGUGGCGUAUAUAGUACAGUGAUACUUCGGGUUAAGUACGUAAUUCAUUGCGGAGGUCCGUUCUUAACCUGAAACUGUUCUUAACCUGAAGCACCACUUUAGCUAAUGGGGCCUCCCACCACCGCUGCACGAUUUCUGUUCUCAUCCUGAAGCAAAGUUCUUAACCUGAGGUACUAUUUCUGGGUUAGCGGAGUCUGUAACCUGAAGCAUAUGUAACCUGAAGCGUAUGUAACCCAAGGUACCACUGUAAUACUUUGAGGCCAAACCUCAGCAGAGAAAGCAGGUUUUCAGAUCAACCUCUGGGAUCGAGCCCCUUGUGGAUUCAGGCCUGCUUCACCCUCCCUCCUCCGUCUCUCCCUUUCGAAAGCUCCCAGCCCUGCCACACAGUCACAUGCAUGCUGGCUGGCGCUCCAGCUCAUGGGACAAAGUACAGGAGUUUCUCAUUAACCAGGAAUGAGAAGGCUGUCUUAAUCCAGCUGCAGAGGCUGGGGGGGGGGGAGAGAGAGAGAGAGAACAGGAAGGGGGUUUGGAGCAAAGAGGAUGAUUCGGUAUGAAGCAGCUGUUUGGGGAGGCACCUCAGAGGUAAAGCCUGGCUCAUUUCUGAGUUUGGGGGCUUUGCUAAGAGAAGCUAUUGGCCUUGAUUGUAUUCCCAGAGCUGGGGGUGGGUGGGCGGGGUUUGCAGAGUUUGCAUCAAUCUAUGUGCUUUAUCUAGGGAUGGGCGGCUCCAACAAUGUCCUCUCUCUCUUUCUUUUCCAAUUGUAAGUUCAGUUUUCCACAUCUCCACAUCAGUCGGUGCUUUUUAAAAAAAGGCCUUCUGAGUGCUUUAGUGUGAAUUUCUCCCAAUACCCACACUUUUGUACACAAUUGUGCCUAAUCUAACCAUCUUUGCAGAGCAAAUUUUCCCCAAUAUAAUACAAUGUUACAUUGCGGUGCACAUUAUUCUCACUAAUGAAUGUGGUUUUAUACACACUCUAGUAUUUUUGGACUUGCAAUGCAAACUUGGGAGAAGGGCAGAUUUUGAAGGAUGACGGCCCUUUCCUUCUCAAUAUGGUUUCAGAAAGUGGAAUUAUGUAAAUUCGCCUUUAAAUUGGAACUGAAAUACAAUUACUGUACCAGAGUGGCAUAACGGUAAAUCUCUUCUCCUAUAGAAUGCUGGGAAUUGUGAAGGGGUCUCCUUAUAACUCUCAUUACACAUCUUUAGGCACCAGGCAAAAACAUUCCUUUUUAACCAAGCCUUUGGUUGAUCCGAUUGACAUCCUAUGCCCUUUUAAAAUGUGGCUCUUUUUUUUUUGGGGGGGGGUGUUUGUUAUUGGGUUGUUGUUUUUAUUUUGAUUAUAUAUAUUGUGUUUUUUAUGUUGAUCUUUUCUGUGAACCACCCUGAGACCUCUGGGUGUAUGAAUUCAAAUAAUAAUAAUAAUAAUAAUAAUAAUAAUAAUAAUAAUAAUAGGAUUUCCACGAGAUCUAAUGCUAUGAGGGAAAAAUAUUUUGUUGGCAAGAACAAUUUGACAAUAAAACCCACUAUUUAUAGGAACAAUGGGCUCUUUUUCCUCAAUGGGGGCAUUAGGCAAAGGCUACAGAUGUUCCUGCAUUGGAUUUCCCACACCUGUGGUCUCAGAAGCCCUCUCCUCUAGCUUGUGAUCCAGCAGUCAGGUGCCAAGUCUCCAUUUCCCCCUCCUCAAGCCAGUGGCAAUUGUGCACCUAGCCCUUUCCUUCCAAGCAAUGGAUGCCCUGAAUAACCAAGGUGGAAUCUACACACAUAUUAAAAAAAAAAGUUCUGAAACUGUUUUUAAAAACACAUUGAAUUUUCCAUAAGGCUCACCAUCACCACCUAGUGUCAUAUUGUAUAUUGCACUUGAAACACACUUAAAACGUUUUCGUUGCAGCUGUAUAGCUGAGUCUCAAGUGAGGCCAGCUUUUUGACCCAAAGAGAAAUAUGUCUUAGAAGGGGGAGGGGGAAGUCUGCCAGAACUGGAGGCUCAUAAUCUCUCCCAAGGAGAUAACAAGGGGAGCUGAGUGUGCCAAGAAAUUUCCCAGCAUGCAAAGCCGCAGGGCCUCCUCCCCACCCACCUUCAGGUCUGGCUACAAAGAGGUUCCUCUGCCAUGGAAAUAAAUGAGUAUUGUGGCUGACCAUCAAGUCACGCAAGCCUGGGAUGGGAGUGGGAGCAAUGGAUGGGUUGGGAUGAAGUAGCCCUUUAUCCAAAGAUUGCUUCCUCCGGAGGCGAGGGCAGGGCUGGCAUUUUUGGAAAGGCUGCAGCAAUCACAAAUGCAUGGGAGGCACUGACCCUGGUUGGAGGGAGCUUUGUAAACUCCUUGUGAAUGUUUUGCAGCCUGCUCUGAGGUACAAAAGAGGGGAAAUGAGAUUUAAGUCACGGAAGUACAUGUGCUGGGUGUUGAGUUUUGCUGUGGAGUAAUUUUGGUGCAAAUCCGAUAGGCGUUAAGGAGAAUGAAGUCUUGAUGCUGCACUAUAGACAAGAUUAAGUACAUGUGGGUAAACUAAGGCUCCAUUCACACCAUACAUCUAAAGCACCAUGAGGACACUUUAAACAGUCAUGACUUCCCCUAAAGGAUUCUGGGAACUGUAGUUUGUUAAAGGUGAUAGGAGUUGUUGGGAGAGAAUUCCUAGAGUUCCCUGUGAAUACAGAUUGAUUGUUAAACUGCUCUGGGAAUUGCAGCUUUGUCAAGGGAAGCCUGAUGCAGAGGGUUGCAGGCGUGAUUGGAGUCAGAAGAGAAUUGGGGGGGGAGCUGUUCAAGCGCACAGGACACUUUCAGAUGUUGGGGGCUGGAAAAACGAGAGGCUCUUUGGAUCACAUUCACACCAAACAGUUAAAGUGCCCUGAUACCACUUUAAACUUUUGGUUUUCCCCAAAAAAGAAUUCAGGGAGCUGUAGUCUAUUAGGUAAAUAGGUAAAUGACCGCUGCACUGUUAAGUCUAGUCAAAGGCAAAUAUGGGGUUGGAGCGCUCAUCUCGCUUUCAGGCUGAGGGAGCUGGUGCUUGUCCACAGACAGCUUUCUGGGUCAUGUGGCCAGCAGGACUAAAUUACUUCUGAUGCAACGCAACACUGUGACGGAAACCAGAGUACAUGGAAAUGCCAUUUAUCUUCCUGCUGCAGUGGUACCUAUUUAUCUACUCACACUGGCAUGCUUUCGAUCUGCUAGGUUGGCAGGAGCUGGGACAGAGCAAUGGAAGCUCAUUAUCGUUGCACGGAUUUGAACUGUCAACCUUCUGGUCAGCAAGGCCAAGAGGCUCAGGGGUUUAGACCACAGCACCACCCGCAUCCCUUGUAGUCUAUGGAGGGUACUGAGAGUUGGUAAAGGUAAAGGUAAAGGUAAAGGUAAAGGUAAAGGUACCCCUGACCAUCAGGUCCAGUCAUGGCCGACUCUGGGGUUCUGGCGCUCAUCUCGCUUUAUUGGCCGAGGGAGCCAGCGUACUGCUUCUGGGUCAUGUGGCCAGCAUGACUAAGCUGCUUCUGGCAAACCAGAGCAGCGCACAGAAACACCGUUUACCUUCCCACCGGAGUGGUACCUAUUUAUCUACUUGCACUGUGAAGUGCUUUCGAACUGCUAGGUUGGCAGGAGCAGGGACCGAGCAAUGGGAGCUCACCCCAUUGUGGGGGUUCGAACUGGCGACCUUCUGAUCAGCAAGUCCUAGGCUCUGUGGUUUAACCCACAGCGCCACCCUCUAUUCUUCUCCCAAAGCUGCAGUUCCGAAAUUCCCCUAUGAAGAGGGAUGGUCCUAACAUUAAGCCACUGUACUUGCGACAUGGCAGCUUAAAGCAUCCUGAGUGCAAGGAAAGCCAAGUAUUCAGCAGACCCAAGGAAGAGCUAUCUUCCAUUGCAGGUCGGACUUUGGGCAAACAUCCGAAGCAGGGGAAACUUUCCUUUGCUGGGUGGUGAGCUUGGACAAAGUGUUGCCCUAUCCUCCUCCCUCCCAUUUCUUUUCCUUUCCUCCCCCCCACCCCAAAUGUCUUGCUGAGGGGUGAAGGGCAGGUCAGGACAGACAAAGCCCCUGCCCCCAUUGCCAUGGUGACAUUAAUUCAAGCCGGGUUCAAAGGAAAUUGUUCCAGUUAAAGCUAACAAGCCAGAGUUGGAGCCUGGCCUAGCAGGGGGAAAAAAGCUCUGUUUUGAGAAAAAAUGGGACCAGCAUUUUGUGCACGGAGGCGGAGAAGGGAAGAAAGGGAAGCACUUGUGUUUUUUGGGUGGUGGGAGCCUACAUUCUUGCUCAAGAAGUUCAAAACAACCUGACCUCCCCAGUUCUCCAGCAUUUUGGGACGGGGAGCCCCCUUUUGAUAGGAAAAGCAAAUAACUCCAGCCGAUUGGCACCUCCAGUUUCUGUUUACCGUUGAGCAGAUUCUAACAGGCCACUGUUACAUUCAAAGCUCAGGUGCAAGAAGAAAAUGGAAAUGUACAGGGGUGGCGGCGGCUAGGAAUGAGUAAACCUGUCAACUUUGGUUUGUCUCAGCUUCUCACUUUUUCAGUCUACUGCUUUCCACAUUUCCACAUAAGUUUGAUGAUUACUAUUGCUAUUAAUAUUUUGCAAAGUCUUCAGGAAAAUCCAUCUGGAUUUUUGUGCAGUUUUCUCCUAAUGUACACAAUUUUUGUAUGCAAUUUUGGCUCACAUAAACAUUUUUUCCCCAAAGCAAUUCCCCCUAGUUUAAUGCAUUUAGUAUGUUUUCGCUAAUGUAUCUGCACAUCUAUGCGUUUUUGUACACAUUGUUUGGUUGGAGAACCACACUGCAAAAUUUAGAGAACCACAAUUUUCAAAGGAUGGUUACAUUUUUUGAUUCACACAUUUUUUGGGAAGGUGGGAUUUAGCUCAGUUUGCCUUUCCCCCACUCCUAAUGAUGACUGGCUGGAGCAGGGCAGUAGGAUGAGCGCAGGAGAAGUUCCCAGGUUCAAACACCAGUAGCAUCUCCAGGCAGGCGUAGGAGAAACCCCAGUCUGAAACCCCAGAGAGCCAUUGCCAGUCAUUGUAGACAAUUCAGAGCCAGAUGGGACAUUGGUCUAACGCAAGGAAAGGCACCUUGCCGCUUUUCUGUCUUCCAUGCUAACCCUCUGCUAGACUGGGCCUGCAGGGACAGAAAAGAGGCUUUCAGAACUGACGCCCACCAAGGGAAGCAGCAUCUCCUUUUUGAUGGCAGUUGCAGAGAAGUGAGACCAUCCCAAUAGGCACAGAACGCCUGCUGAAUUUUGGUGAAGCUUAUCAUGCUGGACUCUUUGAGAAGCAAUAGGCCGCACGCCAGCAGGUGGCGCUCAAGAAUACAAAGUGUGCUUGCUUCCUCUCUGUCGCAACUCUUUCUACUGCCUUCUCCGGAUUAUAAAUGUCCCAAAUCUCUGCUCUGUGUUAUCCCAGUAAUCCUUACAAGAGCCCUGAAAAGUAUUGUUAUCCCUACACGGCUGGGGGCUCAAGCUGGGUGAAGCAAGAUCUGGGAACUAGACAUGUCCUUUCCAUGGGCUGGGGAAAGAUUGGGCAAUGCAAACUGAAUCUGCUUUUCCUUAUCUAGUGUUAAUGUAGCAAUUGAGCUCUUAAGCAGCUUGCUCUAGCAGGUGAGCCCUUGCAAAACUCAUCUUAAUUUCCGGUUGCUUAAGAAAGAUUUGUGGAGAAAUACUUUGCAGGGCUGCCUUUUCCCGGGGGUGCAAGGGGUGCGGGGCACCCGGGCACUGAAUUUUGGGGCACGCCAGGUGCCCGCCGCUGAAGCCGCCUAAGUUCUUAUGAAAUAAUAUAUUAUGUUAUGAAAUAAUAAAUAUUUUUGAUCAAGCUAGGAAAACAAAAUACAUAUACAGUGGUACCUUGGGUUACAUGCGCUUCAGGUUACAUACGCUGUAACUCAUAGCUGUCAACGUUCAGAUUUGAAAAUAAGGGAUCAGCAGCCUCGAAAAUAAGGGAUCAGCAGCCUCGAAAAUAAGGGAUCAGCAGCCUCACCUGUCCUGGGGACAGUCUACGGGAUAUCUAACAAUCCAGGAUAGCAGCAGGAAGCAGCGGGAAACGGCACUGGAAUAAGGGAAUUUCCCACAAAAAAAGGGAAGGUUGACAGCUAUGUUCAGGUUACAGACUCCGCUAACCCAGAAAUAGUAACUCGGGUUAAGAACUUUGCUUCAGGAUGAGAACAGAAAUCGCGCGGCAGCAGUGGGAGGCCCCAUUAGCUAAAGUGGUGCUUCAGGUUAAGAACAGUUUCAGGUUAAGAACGGACCUCUGGAACAAAUUAAGUACGUAACCAGAGGUACCACUGUAUACCUAGGUAUUACUGAAAUGUAUACCUACUGUCUCACUAAAGGACUUUUGACUUUGUGCACUCAUUUACCAAAGAUGUGCCGCACCAGCGGUCGCACUUGUCAUUCACAACGGCGGCGCUUGUCAGACUCAACGACAAUGCUUGUCAUUCACAACGGCGCCAUGCACACGAAAUUUCAGGGCGCUGGGCGGAUCUUUGCACCCCGGUGGUGCAUAUGCUAAAGACAGCGCUGAUACUUUGCGAUAUUUUUAGUAGACUUUACAGGAAGCACAAGGUAGCAUCAGACUGGAGUGGGGAAAAUAUAGGUGGGUCUUUGGCCAUCUUUCCUUUGGUUGCAGCUAGAAUGGUAUUCUGCUGAGCCACUCUGCUCCUCUGCUCCAGCCAGAAUGCUUCAGGUGGAAUGCUGCUCUAGCCAAGCUUGGAAAGAUCUUCUCCCAUAUAAGGAAUCAAAGGGAAUCUCAAAAGUGCUUCAAAGCCUAGAGGCUAAUGAAGAACUCCUGGGAAAAGAGCUGGCAACAGUUUCUGUAGCUCUCCGCAAGCACGCUUACCUCCACACACUUAUUUCGCAGCAUUUUAGACACCAUGUUUGUUUAAUCCCUGCAGGACUGUCAUCCAUUUGAUGAGUGCUGUUCGCUGUCUCUGCUCUCUGAUGUGAACAUCUGAAGAGAUGGAUUCUUCAACAGUUUUUAAACCACUCCGCUCCUGUUUCCAGACUUGUUCCCAAGGCACAAGAGCAUGUAUAGAGAGCAAGGAGCUGCAGGGAGGCAUGUCACCACCCAACCUGUUCCUUCAAAAUCUUCCAUGGCCUCCCCACCCCACUCAACCAGGUGCCCUGUCAAAAUAGUGGUACAUGUCAUAGGAGCCAUUUUUUGG